GCGACUAAGCGUACACGGUGGAUGCCCUGGCAGUCAGAGGCGAUGAAGGACGUGCUAAUCUGCGAAAAGCGCCGGCGAGGUGAUAUGAACCUUUGACCCGGCGAUGUCCGAAUGGGGAAACCCAGUGUGAUUCGUCACACUAUCGUUAACUGAAUACAUAGGUUAACGAGGCGAACCGGGGGAACUGAAACAUCUAAGUACCCCGAGGAAAAGAAAUCAACCGAGAUUCCCCCAGUAGCGGCGAGCGAACGGGGAGCAGCCCGG
rnacentral:rRNA from 1 species